ensembl:lncRNA novel transcript
GGCGAGGUGGCCCAGGGAGAGAAGAGGGAUGAGGCGCAGAGGGAGUGGGAGGCCCGUCUGACUGUCAUGGGCAUAAAGCAUCCCCAAAGAACAUUCAAGUCUGAGCCUCAAGGAGCCUCUGCGACUCGGUGUCUAGAUCCAGGAAAUGGAGAAUGAGCCGUGACUUUGGAUGCUUCACUCUUGUCCAUCAGGCUCGGAAUUGGUGAGCAUCUCCCACAUUACCGUCUCCAACGGAACAAGGUGCCCCAUUGGACAUUUCCUCUGCAUGGACCAGCCAUUCUCCAAAUCUGCCCCCAUGUCACCCCAGCUCCCCAUCGCAGUCACUUCUCACUCCUUGUCCCCUGUCCCCCUGAGUGACAGGACUUUUGCCAGUUAGGUCCUGUCCCUGUUUCUGAUCUUGGGUCCAUUCCCCAUGGUCCCUUUCUUGCUUGUGCCUUGGGAUCUCAGGCCUGUUGAAGUAGGAGGCAGGACUCAACUUCAGACCAGAUUGAAGACUGGCUGACACAGAAGAGGCACCAAAAGCACCUCUCUCUCCAUAAGACAUGCCCACCAGUGCCAUGACAGUUUACCAUUGCUAUGGCAAUGCCCAGAAGUUCUCACCCCUUUUCCAGACAUUUCUGCAUAAUCUACCCCUCAAUUGGCAUGUGAUCAAAAGUGGGUGUCAAAAUGACUGUGGAACUGUCCCUGAGCUGCUACUCUUGACAUGCUGGUUACAGGGUAGCCCGGCUCUGCAGGGACAGUCACGGAGCUGAAAAACUGCUGCCUAAUGAAGCUGUUUUCUUCUACCACCGGCUCACCCUCAAAUUAUUUCCUGAGCGAACUCAAGAACCUUCCUGGGCUAAGCCCCAAUUUUGGGGCUCGCCUGCCCCUGCAUCACAGCUUCCUCUUCUGUUCACAGCUGCAACCGCCUACUCAACCUUCUGCGGUUCCUCUCCCUGCCCCUCCACAGUGGCUGCUGAUGGGAGCUCUGGCUCCCUGCGUUUUCACUAUCUCCCAGUCAAAUGCAGAGUCCCUGUGCAAUUUAAAUGCUUCUCAGCUAAGAACAGAGAAGGGGAUAGCAUAAGGAUAUUCAAAAGAUUCAAGAAAUCUCAAAAGUGAUCACAAAA